UACGUAGGGUGCGAGCGUUGUCCGGAAUUACUGGGCGUAAAGAGCUCGUAGGUGGUUUGUCGCGUUGUUCGUGAAAUCUCACGGCUUAACUGUGAGCGUGCGGGCGAUACGGGCAGACUAGAGUACUGCAGGGGAGACUGGAAUUCCUGGUGUAGCGGUGGAAAUGCGCAGAUAUCAGGAGGAACACCGGUGGCGAAGGCGGGUCUCUGG
rnacentral:rRNA from 1 species